AUGUCAGUUCACAGCCUACAUAAUUUCGAUGAAUGCUAGCCGAUUUCAUCAUAACAAGCACAUAUCUGGAAAUUGUCGGAAGUCUCAGGCAUCAAUGUCUUUGAUCCAAAGUCCUGUGGUUGACCAGUCCGUCUACUUCCCUUAAACGGAGACACAGAGGCAGCUAACUUCUUUUCGCCCAGCCAUUGAUGAACUACUAUACAGUAAGCACGGAAAAAAUGUGCACAUAGGAUAUUUGGCAGAUAAGAAUAAACCAAUCAUCUCAAAGGACUGAGAAGAAACUGCAGAAAUAUAAAAGAUGCAUGCCUUGAUAGAGAAAUACCAACUUUAUGGAGAGCUAUACCUAGGAUUACCCGUCUUUGCAACAGGUCAGGGAGGCCCAGCAGAAAUUAUUGUUGAAGGAAUCUCAGGCUUUCAUAUUGACCCCUAAAAUGGUGAAGAAUCGAGCCUCCCUAAUAAUAUUAGUGGUAGUUUAGGAACUGGGAUGUAUUUUUCUUGGCUUCAUCUCAUCUGAAAUCAACAUUAUUGCUUCACAUUGAUAUGCAUAAUGCAUAUUUCUCUUAAUGUCUCUGU